AAUUGAUCAUGUUAAAUGAAAAAUAUUGAAAUCCAAAGGGCAAAAUACUUGCCCCAACAAUCAAGUAUUAAAUUAAGAUUCUCAAUGCACAUUCCAGAGCACCGGUUUGGUCAGGUAGUUGCUCUGGAGUAUUGUGACACACAAAAUAGCUUGUUUUGAAGGAUGAGAAUGCAUGAUUCCUUAAUUACACCAUAAAUCCAUCACUCAUUAAUUCACCCGAGCUAACUCCAGUGGUCCCUUCUGUUGCAUUGUCUUUAGUCUUUACAUAGGCAGAUUUAAGCAAUACCUUCAG
rnacentral:misc_RNA from 1 species